rnacentral:rRNA from 1 species
UACAGAGGUCUCAAGCGUUAAUCGGAAUUACUGGGCUUAAAGGGUCCGCAGGCGGUUCAACAAGUACCUUGUGAAAUAUCAGGUCUCAACCCUGAAACUGCUCGGUAGACUGUUGGACUUGAGUGCAAAAGGGGUCGCUGGAACUCUAGGUGGAGCGGUGAAAUGCGCAGAUAUCAGGAGGAACACCGGUGGCGAAGGCGGGUCUCUGGGCCAUAACUGACGCUGAGGAGCGAAAGCGUGGGGAGCGAACAGG